GAUGAACGCUGGCGGCGUGCCUAAUACAUGCAAGUCGAACGCUGGAAAUCUAGCUUGCUAGAUUGAAGGAGUGGCGAACGGGUGAGUAAUACAUAAGCAACCUACCCACGAAGGCUGGGAUAAUCUCUGGAAACGGGGACUAAUACCGGAUAGGUAAUCGGAAGGCAUCUUCUGAUUAUUAAAGGUUAAAAACACUGGUGGAUGGGCUUAUGGCGCAUUAGUUAGUUGGUGAGGUAACGGCCCACCAAGACGAUGAUGCGUAGCCGGCCUGAGAGGGUGAACGGCCACAUUGGGACUGAGACACGGCCCAGACUCCUACGGGAGGCAGCAGUAGGGAAUUUUCGGCAAUGGGGGAAACCCUGACCGAGCAACGCCGCGUGAGUGAUGACGGCCUUCGGGUUGUAAAGCUCUGUUGUAAGGGAAGAACGGUAGAUAGAGAAUAUCUAAAUGACGGUACCUGACCAGAAAGCCACGGCUAACUACGUG
rnacentral:rRNA from 1 species